CACGGGGGGAGCAAGCGUUGUUCGGAAUCACUGGGCGUAAAGCGCGCGUAGGCGGCUCUUCAAGUCAGGCGUGAAAGCCCCGGGCUUAACCCGGGAAUAGCGCUUGAUACUGUUGGGCUUGAGUCCGGGAGAGGAUAGUGGAAUUCCCAGUGUAGAGGUGAAAUUCGUAGAUAUUGGGAAGAACACCGGUGGCGAAGGCGGGUCUCUGGGCCGAUACUGACGCUGAGGAGCGAAAGCGUGGGGAGCGAACAGG
rnacentral:rRNA from 1 species